rnacentral:lncRNA from 1 species
CUCAGGUAUGACCCAUGAGCUGCAAUGAAGUACAGUUCCAUUUUGUGCAGAUCUACAGAGGAGAGCAAAGACCAUUGCUCUGCAGUCAGCCUCCACAUAAUCCCUGAGGGUGGAUCCAUCUCUUCUGCCAUAGGCGUUCAAGAUUGCUGGACUGAAAAACAACAAUAAUAAAAAAUCCACACUUGAUCCAUAAGUCAAGGACCCUGGUCCUGUUCUAUUGUCAACUAAAUGGAGCAGAAAAUAUCAAUGGAGAAGCAAUGUCCAAUCUUCAAGGAACCCUUUGUUUCAUCAAAUGGACUACUGGAUGACAAGUGAGGAAAACAGGAAGUGCCAAGCAUUAUUGGAACAAUCAAAUUGCACCUAGUUUCUGCGUGGCAGUGUCCUCUGCCUGGAGGAAAUGAGGCAGCCUUUCCAUGGUCCCCAUAAACAACUGGGUGUGGACUUGGUCUCUAGGUUUUAAUCCACAGCCUGUCACUCAUUUCCUCGACGACCUUGGAUAUUACACAAAAAUGCAAAUUGGAAAGAUUGGAGCCUCAGCAGUUAAAGAGUGCUUCUUCCUGUUGCAGAGAACCCAAGCUUGCUUUCCAGCUCCCAUUGGGCAGUUCACAAGCAGCUGGAACUCAAGUUCCAGGAAAUUGGAUGCUCUAUCUGGCCUCUGCAGGUGCCUAUACUCACAACUGAAUACCCACACAGAUAAAUGAAAAUAAAGCAAAGCUUGAAACAAUUUAAUUAAGUGGGGUUUUUUCUUCUUUAACAUUGUUUCUUUUUAGAUGAAUAGAUGAAUCAAGAUGUGCCAGUAGGUAAAUAGAAUCAGUGAAACCUAUUAAUGAACUGUGGU